GCGCCCAUAGCUCAGUUGGUAGAGCAUCCGCCUCUUAAGCGGUUGGUCGGAGGUUCAAAUCCUCCUGGGCGCA
rnacentral:tRNA from 1 species